ACGUACACUCCUACGGGAGGCAGCAGUGAGGAAUAUUGGACAAUGGGUGGAAGCCUGCUCCAGCCAUCCCGCGUGCAGGAAGACGGCCCUAUGGGUUGUAAACUGCUUUUAUCUGGGGAUAAACCUACUUACGUGUAAGUAGCUGAAGGUACCAGAAGAAUAAGCACCGGCUAACUCCGUGCCAGCAGCCGCGGUAAUACGGAGGGUGCAAGCGUUAUCCGGAUUUAUUGGGUUUAAAGGGUCCGUAGGCGGACUGAUAAGUCAGUGGUGAAAUCCGACAGCUUAACUGUCGAACUGCCAUUGAUACUGUUAGUCUUGAGUAAGGUUGAAGUGGCUGGAAUAAGUAGUGUAGCGGUGAAAUGCAUAGAUAUUACUUAGAACACCAAUUGCGAAGGCAGGUCACUAAGUCUUAACUGACGCUGAUGGACGAAAGCGUGGGGAGCGAACAGGAUUAGAAACCCCAGUAGUCCCA
rnacentral:rRNA from 1 species